rnacentral:rRNA from 1 species
CAGGACGAACGCUGGCGGCGUGCUUAACACAUGCAAGUCGAACGAGUGUAUGAAGGAGCUUGCUCUUGAUUACACGGGUGGCGGACGGGUGAGUAACGCGUGAAUAAUCUGUCCUAUACAGGGGGAUAACGCAUCGAAAGAUGUGCUAAUACCGCGUAGGACCACGGUGCCGCAUGGCACUGAGGUGAAAGGAGCAAUCCAGUAUAGGGUGAGUUCGCGUCUGAUUAGAUAGUUGGUGAGGUAGCGGCCCACCAAGUCAACGAUCAGUAGCCGACCUGAGAGGGUGAUCGGCCACAUUGGGACUGAGACACGGCCCAGACUCCUACGGGAGGCAGCAGUGGGGAAUAUUGGGCAAUGGGCGAAAGCCUGACCCAGCAACGCCGCGUGAAGGAAGAAGGUUUUCGGAUUGUAAACUUCUGUCCUAUGUGAAGAGAUAGAGACGGUAGCAUAGGAGGAAGCCCCGGCUAACUACGUGCCAGCCGCGGC